UGAGGAAUAUUGGUCAAUGGGCGGAAGCCUGAACCAGCCAAGUCGCGUGAGGGAAGACGGUCCUAUGGAUUGUAAACCUCUUUUGCAGGGGAACAAGACCUGUUACGUGUAACAGGUUGGAGAGUACCCUGAGAAAAAGCAUCGGCUAACUCCGUGCCAGCAGCCGCGGUAAUACGGAGGAUGCGAGCGUUAUCCGGAUUUAUUGGGUUUAAAGGGUGCGUAGGCGGGCUGGUAAGUCAGCGGUAAAAAUGCGGUGCUCAACGCCGUAGUGCCGUUGAAACUGCCGGUCUUGAGUGAGCGAGAAGUAUGCGGAAUGCGUGGUGUAGCGGUGAAAUGCAUAGAUAUCACGCAGAACUCCGAUUGCGAAGGCAGCAUACCGGCGCUCAACUGACGCUGAGGCACGAAAGCGUGGGGAUCGAACAGGAUUAGAUACCC
rnacentral:rRNA from 1 species